GUGGGGAAUAUUGCACAAUGGGCGAAAGUCUGAUGCAGCGACGCCGCGUGAGCGAAGAAGUAUUUCGGUAUGUAAAGCUCUAUCAGCAGGGAAGAUAAUGACGGUACCUGACUAAGAAGCACCGGCUAAAUACGUGCCAGCAGCCGCGGUAAUACGUAUGGUGCAAGCGUUAUCCGGAUUUACUGGGUGUAAAGGGAGCGCAGGCGGUGCGGCAAGUCUGAUGUGAAAGCCCGGGGCUCAACCCCGGUACUGCAUUGGAAACUGUCGUACUAGAGUGUCGGAGGGGUAAGCGGAAUUCCUAGUGUAGCGGUGAAAUGCGUAGAUAUUAGGAGGAACACCAGUGGCGAAGGCGGCUUACUGGACGAUAACUGACGCUGAGGCUCGAAAGCGUGGGGAGCAAACAGGAUUAGAAACCCUUGUAGUCC
rnacentral:rRNA from 1 species